GAAUGCCGAAGCUGGUGUAGAGACGCCCGCAGAGAAGAGGGAACGUGAAAGGGAUUGUUUUGGUGGAGUAAGCGACGUCAACAGAACUUCUCCCUGCUCUGCCUUAGUGUCUUGUGCCAGCUGGAUUGUCUUGCUUUUGAGCCAUACUGUGCAACAUUAAUGUGGCUUUUGAUGACAGUCUGAAACAUGAAGAGCCUGCAGUUUGGUGGAUGUGAUUAGGAAAGAACUCAGAUUACUCUGGCCAGCAUCAGAACCAUGGGGAAGGUCAAGCACCAGGAUGAUGACAUGGACUGAAAGACGGCCUAUGACAUCCGUCACCAGAACACUGCACACCAGCCCAGUGAGAAGUUUACCAAGGUAUGUGGUAAUGGCGAUAUCAACACAACUUCAUUUUCAAGCUUCCCAAGAAUUUUGGAGAGAAAUCAUUCAAGGGUGUGUAAAGAAAAAAAAAUUCUUGGUGCACCAGUUUGCAUCAGCUUGCAACUACUACUGGUGUCUUGUGUCUACUCGUGGAGAAAUCAACAGGUACACCUCAUGUCUUCCACACAUCUGCCACUACUUUGCCUCCUUGAUGUCUCAGGUGGCUUGGGCUUCCCUGUGCAGAAAAAUCACAUUUCUUUACUGUAGGAGACUACAGUAGGGAGACUACUGUUUUUUUUUCUUUUCUUUUUAUAUAUAUAAAGGUGGCAUAUUUGCACACGUUCCAUAUAUCAUGAACACCUUACAUCCAACAUUAGUGUCUCUAAUGGUCCUCCAACCCAUCUCAGUUCAACUAUUUCGCAUUUUUUUUUUUAUAGCAAUAGGUGGUUUCCAACAUUAGAGUCUCUAAUGGUCCUCCAACCCAUCUCCAACUAUUUUGCAUUUUUUUUCUUUUAUAGCAAUAGGUUGUACUACUGUACAAGACAUUAUUAUAUUCACGACAAAAAGAUGCUGCAUUAAACAAAGACAGGAUGGCAUAUUGAGAGGAUGGAGGAGAAGAUUAAGUGUAGUGUAAAUAAAUAUUAAUGCAUGCAUGCAAGGAUGGCAUAUUGAGAGGAUGAAUGAGGAUUUUAAGUGUAGUGUGUAAAUAUGAAUAACUGCAUGCAUGCAAAAGAGGGGGAAAUAAGAGGGAGGGCAAGAAAUAAAGGGAGGAUGCAUAUAGCCAUUAAAUAGAGGGAGGAAAACAGAGGGAAGAUUAAUUUGAGGGAAGAUUGAGAGGCAGACAACCUGUCACAUUUGGAUGGGAGUGGAUGGUGUGUAAGAGUUAAGAGACCAAGUGUGUCAAGAGAUUAAGCUCACUAUAUGCACUAUAAACACAUCCUAAUCUUUAGGUCUAAAAUUCAUGUAACACUAGAAAUAGCUUGUCACCUUUAAAGUUGAGCCUUUUGGCCACCAUACACAAAACACAUUCAGCAGAUAAGUACAUAGGCACCCUGAUGACUGGUUGGACACCGUUACUUAGGUGUCAAUUGGAAAUUUGCGAUACCUCCAAGAGCCUCCGGAGGCCCGAGAGCAAGUUUGUGAUACUUCUAAGAGUCUCCAGAGAAAGAUAAGUGCAUUUGUGUUCAAAAUUUUUAUUAAAAAAAAUAAAUAAAAAUCACAAUAAAGAUUGAGUCUCUUGACUUUCUCGUACCUUUGCAGCUUUGUUACCAGCAUCUUGCCAGUCCACAAAGUCUAACACACUGGAGGUUGUUAGCGAGAUAUUUUACUAUUGUUACUAAAGAGCCUGAAGGUUACAGCAGCAGUACACCAUAAUCCCAAACAAAUCCUGGAAGAAAGAACACCAGAUCAGUAUGAUAUAAAGUUGGUCGGAGUAAUAAUAUCUUCAGAUUAACAGGAAUACUCAAUAGCAAAAAUAUACAAGGUCUUGCAAGUGCCAUGAGGAAUAACAUUCAAGAUAUUUUUAUUCUCUAAUGGCAAUGCUAAACAGUAAAAUACAAAUGGCUUGCAAGUGCUAUGAGAAAAAAAAUAUAUAAAGAGACCUAUUUC